ensembl:lncRNA
UCUCUGGGCAUCUUGUUCCAUCACCUCACUGCCCUCUCAGUGAAAAACCUCCCCCAGCAUCUAAUCUAAAUCUUCAUUCCUUUAGUUUAAUACCAUUCCUUGUCCUAUCGCUAUCUGUGUAAAAAAUUGAUUUUUUUUUCCCCAUUCUGUUUAUAAUAUCCCUUUAAAUACUGCAAGGCCAUAAUGAGGUCUCCCUGGAUCCUUUUCGUCUCCAGACUGAACAAGCCCAGCUCCUGCAGCCUGUCUUCAUAGGAGAGGUGCUCCAGCCCUCAGAUAAUCUUUAUGACCCUCCUAUGGAUACUCUGCAAAAGCUCCACAUCUUUCCUAUGCUGGGUGCCCCAGCGCUGGACUCAGUACUCCAGAUGUGGCCUCACAAGGGCAAAGUAGAGGACAAUCAAAUCCCUCACACUGCUGGCCACCCCUCUUCUGAUUCAGCCCAGGACACCAUUGGCCUUCUAGGCUGCAAGAGGACAUAUAUGACUCAUAUUCAGUUUUUCAUCUACCAGGACCCCCAAGUCGUUCUCAGCAGGGCUACUCUUAAGGAUUUCUUCUCCCAGUCUGUAUACAUACCAGGAAUUACUCCAACACAAGUGCAAAACAUUGCACUUUGCUUUUUGAACUUCAUUAAGUUCAUAGGGGGCCACCUUCUGAGUUUACGAAGGUCCCUCUGUAUUGCAUCCCUUUCUUCUGCCAUAUCAACUGCACCAUUCAUCUUGGAGUCAUCAGAAAACUUGCUGAGAGUGCACUUGCUCCUAUCAUCUAUGUUACUGAUAAAGAUGUUAAAGAGUACCAGUCCCAAGAUGGACUCAUGGGGGACACCACUUGUUACCAGCCUCCACCUGGAUGCAGAGCCACUGACCACAAUCCUCUGGCUGUGACCUUCCAACCAGCUUCUUAUCCACCCUUCAAAUCUUCAUAUCUUUCCAAUUUUGAGGUGGAUCAGUUCAGCACAUCAUGGAGUUAAUGCUUCGUGGAAGGGUGCUAGAAACUGAAGCUGACAUCCUAGGAAAGAGUGGGCAUGGAGCAUUAUAGGGAAAAGUUCACCGUAACCUACCAGCUGCCUGAACAGCACACUCUUAGCAGAGCCUGCUGAAUUCUCGACUCACUCACCUGAACUUCUCGCUGGCAUCUAUUCUUCCCAACCACGAAGAAAACCCAGUGGCUAAUGCCUAGGGCUCCGGGUUAACGGCCUACCAUGACAUGACGCCUGGGCAAACUGAAAUCACUUUGGCCAUCCUGAAUAUACUGUAUCACAUCUGAGAUGUUUUUCAUCGUGUUCCUUGAAGAAGAAAUACUAACUUGGGUAUCAUCAGAAAUGUCUUGGCAAAGUUUUUUAUUGCCCUUUGAGAACAUUCUCAUAUCAUGGCUGUGGAUGAAUGUGGUCAGGAUGAAUGAGGUCCCUUCUUGGACUGCAGAAGGGAGGACUCCUGGGGAACGUUGUCCACUGCCACCCUCUGGGACUUCCAGGGAGGAAUGAAUAGAGUCGUUGUAUUGCUGUACCAUCUGGAAGCAAUUGGAACAGGGUAAAUAAUGAGGAACAAUGAAACUGGCUUCAAUAGGCCUUGGUUUGUAUAGGUACUAGGUCAGUAGAUGGUGAAUACAUUUCAGUGUAAAAACUAACACACAGCCAAGGAGUACAGUUGAAGAUUGUUUACUAACUCAAACAUUUAUUUAGCACAGUGAUGAGGAAAAAAUUUUGCGAGUUGCAGUGGGACAGUAAAGAAAGCUCAGCCAAGAAUUAAUGUAUGUGAAUGUUGAUGCCACUGUAUUAAUAUGAAUGGGGAUUUGUUCAAAGCUGUCACACUCUUCUCUUAUGCCACCAAGUACAUGUUUAUGACUGAACUGCAUUCCUUUUUUGAGGGUGACUUAAUGAUAAAUGAAUUUUAAUACCGGGUAUU